AUGGAUAUGUCACUAGGAGUCUUGGUGUGGAAUGUUAGGGGGCUCAAUAACCCCACUAGGAGAUGCUCAAUUCGGUUGUUUAUGCUGACUUGCCAUGUACCUCUUGUUUGUUUUCAAGAAUCCAAGUUGGAUGUUGUGGACUCGGUGGUGGUGAGCCAGACCCUCGGGCCAGGUUUCGAUGAUUUUGAUUUCUUGCCAAUGGUGGGUACUAGGGGUGGUAUUCUGUUGGCAUGGAAGGAAGAUCACCUGCGUGUGACUGAUAUACACAAGGGCGAGUUCAUGAUCUCGGCUAAGGUUCUCUCUCUGACAGAUGGAAAAGAAUGGAUGGUCUCCAUAUUGUACGGUCCGCAAGGAAACGAAGAUAAGGAGAGGUUUCUGAAUGAGAUUGUUCGGUUCGGUGACCAAGUUCAACUAUCGUGGAUCCUCAAUGGUGACCUCAACCUUGUGUGCAGCAAGGAGGAACGCAGCUCGCGGAGAGUCAAUAGAAGGCUAAUGCACAAGUUCAGACACACUAUCAAUAGGUUGGGCCUCCAUGACAUGCCAAUGGUGGGGAGACGCUUUACAUGGCGCAACCAGCAAGAACACUCCAUCAUGGCCAGGCUGAAUAGAGUAUUUUUUCUAACAACUCCUGGGAGGAUCUAUAUCCUAUUAGCGAUCUGCUCCCGCUAA
rnacentral:rRNA from 1 species